GACGAACGCUGGCGGCAUGCCUAAUACAUGCAAGUCGAGCGAACAGAUGAAGUGCUUGCACUUCUGACGUUAGCGGCGAACGGGUGAGUAACACGUAAGGAAUCUACCUAUAAGCGGGGGAUAACAUUCGGAAACGGGUGCUAAUACCGCAUAAUAUCUUCUUCCGCAUGGAAGAAGAUUGAAAGACGGCUCUGCUGUCACUUAUAGAUGACAUUGCGGUGCAUUAGUUAGUUGGUGGGGUAACGGCCUACCAAGACGAUGAUGCAUAGCCGACCUGGGAGGGUGAUCGGCCACCUGGGGACUGAGACACGGCCCAAACUCCUACGGGAGGCAGCAGUAGGGAAUCUUCCGCAAUGGGCGAAAGCCUGACGGAGCAAUGCCGCGUGAGUGAAGAAGGCCUUCGGGUCGUAAAACUCUGUUAUAAGAGAAGAACAAAUUGUAGAGUAACUGCUACAGUCUUGACGGUAUCUUAUCAGAAAGCCACGGCUAACUACGUGCCAGCCGCCGCAGUAAAAC
rnacentral:rRNA from 1 species